rnacentral:rRNA from 1 species
UACGGAGGAUGCGAGCGUUAUCCGGAUUUAUUGGGUUUAAAGGGUGCGUAGGCGGAUUAAUAAGUCAGUGGUGAAAUCCUGCAGCUUAACUGUGGAACUGCCAUUGAUACUGUUAGUCUUGAGUAUGGUCAAGGUAGGCGGAAUGUGUAAUGUAGCGGUGAAAUGCUUAGAUAUUACACAGAACACCGAUUGCGAAGGCAGCUUACUGGGCCGUUACUGACGCUGAUGCACGAAAGCGUGGGGAUCGAACAGGAUUAGA